rnacentral:misc_RNA from 1 species
CAACUGCUCCUGUUAUUCUUCUAAUCACUUUAUUCUAUUUCUUCAAUGUUUCCAUUGUUGGAUCACUUGUGCAUUCUUCAUUAAUCAUUAUAUUUCUGGAUGUGAACCGAUUUUCUUUUGUAGAUUGAUGGCGAAUCGCUGUAGGGGAAAAGAUACAAUCUUUUGAUUCAAAUGGAAAAAACAAUAGUCUUUCUCUGGUUUUUGGAAGCAACUGCUUUUUGGGUUUCUUUUAAUUCAACUGUUUCAAUUAGUACUGUAAUUAUUUAAUUAAUAAUUAUUUCUUAGUAUCGAAAGUUUGGCGGCAAAUGACACAUAAAAAUCCCAUAUCAGGUGGGCUUCUGGCUUGGAGGCAGCCGCAACUCCAAACGCACGCCGACCACACAAAUUCAGAAAUCCUUAAAGUUUUAUAUAUAAAGCACUAAUGCACUUUGCUUUUGCAAGAAUUCGUGUUCCUUUUUUACAGCUUCAAGGAUUAGUUUAUGGCUUUAGGGUGGGUUCAGUGUCUCCUUCAUGUGCCUUGUCGCCUCCGCUUAGGUCACAGCCCUUCAGUUCCACCAACACCAGAUUUAUUGCACCUACCAGACUAGCUCAAUACAGAAGCAAAUGCGUAAUGAACAGGAAAGUUUUGCUUUCAAAGGAAUUGUGGCUUCUGGGGUUUCAGUCAUGGGUUCUUCUCAGUGAACCUGUUAAAGGUCAGUUUUUGCCAUUUAGCUACUCAAUUUUUGUGUAUUUUAGCCUUUCCUUUUGGGUCAAAUACAGAAAAAUCUUCAUCUAAUUUGAUGCCACUUUCGUAGUUGAUUAGCUAGCCUAAAAUCUCAUUGACUAACGGUAUUUGUAUUUGUUUUCCUUACAGAAAGCUGUGUCAUCGUCACUAACAGUUUUGACCCUUACAUCUCUGCAUAUCAUGUGCUCACUUGAGAGCAAUUUGAUUAAGCUGGACAUUUUUUUUCAGGGCUAGAGAGCUUGCCAUACAAGCCAGAAGGCUACAAUUAUUGGACAUGGCGGGGUCACAAAAUACAUUAUGUAGUGCAAGGAGAAGGGUUUCCUAUUGUUCUCAUUCAUGGUUUUGGUGCUUCUGCGUUUCAUUGGAGAUACAACAUACCUGAGUUGGCCAAAAGAUAUAAGGUUUAUGCGUUAGACUUGCUAGGUUUUGGAUGGAGCGAGAAAGCAAUUAUUGAGUAUGAUGCCAUGUUACGGAGGGAUCAAGUGGUAGAUUUUUUGAAGGAAAUUGUGAAAGAGCCAGCAGUUGUAGUGGGAAA